rnacentral:lncRNA from 1 species
CCAAAACCCUCAUCUUCUUCACCAUACUCAGCAUCUGUAACACCGCCGAUCAGAAAUCGCCUCCGCCGGUGACCGGUCUCUAAUGGCUCCCAAAAUUACACCCCUAAACUGCCUCAACGUCCCCGUCACAAAUCCAUCACUAUCUUCCUUCGAAUCCCAUUUGAACCCUUCGAAUACUAAAAACUGUCAUCGUCAUCUCCGCCGCCUACGGCGGUUCCCCCUCCAAACUUCCCCAAAAAUACACCCUUGAAUCUCCUCUUCCCCCUCAUCUAAAAUCCGGCCUUAACUUCCCUUAAAUCACAGCCGAAACAGUUCAAAUAUUGAAUCAAAAUUUUGGACAAAAAUGGAAGUCUGUCCUAUCCUCACCAAAUUCAC